UUCUUCAUCUGCAGUCCCACCAACUACCAAUCCUUUAUUUCUGUGAAUUGAGUUGAAUCGUGCUCCGACAGAGUACUGAUCCCGACUGUCCGUGUCAUUUCCCCGUUUGGAUGGCCCGUUUGGAUGGCGCAUUGCCCAAAAACUACGACGAUCGGUUAAAUCCUAGCUUACUGGCCGGUGGCCAUCAAAUGGACGUUCGAAAACAGUUUUAAGUUGCUGUCCAAGUCUGGAGAGAAUAAUUGGAUGGUUAGGAUUGUCGAAUUGCUAUGAUUUUUUGGUCAUGCUCCAUCUGAUGCAACCAAAUGGCCACAUGAGCCGAUUGAUAAAGAUAUAAAAAAUCUAACCGUCCAAAUUGUCUUGAUUGAUGAUCUAGACAAGAUCCGUGGUUGGAUGAUCAAUUGAAUGAGAUCAAUGGUUAGAUUACAUAGUUGGAUUCUUUAUAUCUUGAUCAAUCGGCUCCUGUAGCCAUUUGGUUGCAUCACUAUCCAUGAUGAGGCCAUGAUUUGGGCCAUCAUGAUUGAUGUGUAUUUACACACCAUGUGUAUGGUGGAUGGGACAAUGCAUACGAUCCAUCAUAUUCAUAUGUUAUAUAGUUCUUGAUGGAAUAUGCAAAUUUAUAGGUAGUUUUACUAGAUGAAUGGUGUUGUUUUGGGUGGGUGCUGAGCAGUAAUUCAAUGGGUGUUUGCAGGUCUUUUUAAGAACUUUUUGUGGGUAAUUAAAUAGGUUGUUUUCUGAUUUUAGAGAAGGUUUUGGUAGGUUGGACAGAAAUUUACUCAUAGAUCAUUUUGACUAUAAUUUGUUUGGGUGUGUCUAGAUGCUCAACUGAAUUGGAUUGCGAUCCAAUUCAAUAUAGAACUAUGACCAAAGUGGGGAUGGUGUCACUUUUAUUCAUAAUGGUAGCCAAACCCCUUACUCUUUUUACUUGUGUUCUAAUCUAGACCUGAAAUAAUUGUAAUAUCAAUGUGGAGGCUAUUUCCUCACUAUGAAUGGACCAAUGGAGUGGGUUAGCCUAACUUCAAUUGUAUCAACUUUUUUGGGUUUGAUUGCUACAAUCGAUUCAAUUUAGCAUCCAAACAUGCCCUUAUCAUGGUAUUGAAAAAUGGUUACGUUAUGGCUGUAACAGCGGUUACAGUUAUGUAAAGGUAACGGUGGUGACCAUCAUGCAAUAUGGGGUUGUAAUGCCCAAUUUGAAAAUUUGCCCCUUAGCGGGCCUAUAACAGUCGUAAUAACUGUAAGAGCUGUUAAGGCCCGUAUCGUAACAGCCACAAGUCUAUCUGUUAUGGCCACCGUUACCGUUAUUGAAUACCUUAACCCUAUAUAUGUUGUUGAGACUCGGAAGAAAAAUAAAAAUUCCCUUCCUCUUUUUUGAAAGAUAAUGAUUUUCAUUAAAGAAGGAUAAAAAUACAUCAAGAUAAAGUAAAUGAGUUUCCAAUAUGAAAGGAGGGCCAUUGAGCUCCCCCUUUGGCUAAAGAAUCUGCCAUGGCAGCCAUGAGCAAGUAAAAUGUUUAGGCUAAUGCGAGAUAACAAAUUUCAUCAAACAUGAAGGAGAGCUUCCACCACGGUUCAUCAUGGGCUUUCUGAGUAUAUGAGUCUCCUUUGGACUUUUUGUAGUGUCUCCUUCUAGUUUCCAAUGUGCUCCUAGGAUAGACAAUUAAGAAGAAAGAUACAACAAGUUCAACCAUAAAAAGUCUUGAUAUUAGUUGAUAUAUGUUCCAAUUUGGGGGAUUUUCAAAGCAUGCUUCCAACUUAGUGGCUAUAUCUUCCAAUUGAUUUUCUCACGUGUUUCGGGAUCAUAUCAUCAUCAUCUAAGCCGUAUCCCAACUAAUAGGGUGACUCAAAAGAGAAGAAAAUUUUUCAUCUUUUGGAGCGUGGCGAGGUGUGCAAACCUUAUGAAGAAAGGCGUUGCUAACAUACGUGACUUGGGGCUAAUGAAUUUGUUUUUUAUAUAGCAAGUGGUGGCGGCAGAUUCGGGUGGAGAAGGAUGCUCUUUGGAGAGAGGUUAUUGUUAGCGAGUAUGGAUGCUCUAAAGGGGGUUGGUGGAUGAGAGAGUCCUCUCUUUAUAGGGUGCCGACGAUGUGGAAAGGUAUAACAAGUGUAAAAGCUAAUUUCAAGGAACGAACCAGCCUUUCUUUGGGGAAUGGAGAGAAUAUCAAAUUUUGGAAAGAUGUGUGGAGGGGCGACAGACCCUUUUAAAUCAGAUUUUCGAAGAUCGUGCGCGUUGCCCUAAACUGGAGCAUCACAGUCGAUCACUGCUAUAUUUAUAGUGAUGAGUCGUUGGUGUAGGCCCCCACCAUGCUGCUGCUACCUUCGGGAUGAUGAGGUGGACGAGUUUGUGGCCCUUGUGGAUUGCUUGCAUCGUUGUAGGCCAAUGGAUAAUGAAAAGCGAUGGGAUGGUGUGGUCUAAAGAGAAGUUAGUGUGCUUCUCGGUUAAACCUUUCCAUUUCUUGCUUCAUAAUGGAGGGGGAGUGUGUGGCAAUAUGAGUCACAUGUGGCAUUAUGGAAAUCCCCCAAAGAUCGGAGCUUUUAGGUGGUUGAUUGGAAGGUAGAGUUUUGACAAUAGAUAACCUUCAGAAGUUCUCUAUGGUUAUUCUGAAUGUUUGUCUCAUGUGCAUGUCCAACACCCAGUCAGUUUACCAUUUAUUCAUCCAUUGCCCCUUUGCAAGUCACGUUUGGGCUUUUAUUCUAUCUAAGAUUCAACAUCUAUUGGUCUGUGCCCCUUUUGAAAUUGGAGAUCUCUUUAUAGCUUGGCAUGGGAUGUCUUUUCACAAGAGCAUUAGAGCUGUUUGGAGGCUUUAUCUUCUUGCCGGGUUGUGGUCAGUUUGGGGAGAAAGGAAUAGGAGAUGCCUCCGCAAUGAAAGUAGGUGUGUUGAGUGGAUCGUGCAGAUUGUUGUCAUAUGCGAUCGCAUAUGCGGUUUGGGCCAUGUGUAGCGCAUAUGCCAUGAUGGCAUAUGCGAUUUGGGGAGUAUGCGAUGGUUUAUGUGAUUAUGCCAUUGCAUACAGAGUAUGCGAUGGCAUACUUUCUCCCUCACUCUAAAUUCUCCGUCUCUCUUCGUGUAACUUGUUAAUUGUUUAAA